GGAGGCUGCAGACUCUAUGAUUUCCAAAAAGAAUGUCAGAUUCUGCUCCAUCAAUCCACAGGUCAUUUUCCCUCUUCCCCUCAGUCCACCUUAAACGGGCUCAGGUCCAGAGAAGUCUCUGGUGUUUCUGGAUCAUGUUUCUAUCUGGUUUUCUCUUUACAUGGUUCAGUUUGAACCUCAUUUGUGGAUGCAGUGAUCAACUCUGUUCACAGACAGUGGUUUCUGGAAGUGGUUUUGAGUCCAUGCAGGGAUUUCCACUACAGAGUCCUGUCUGUUUUUAAGGCAGUGCUGCCUGAGGACCUGAAGAUCAGGACUAUCCAAUCUUGGUUUUAGUCCUUGUCCCUUUUGUACAGAGAUUUCUCCAGAUUCUCUGAAUCUUUUAAUGAUAUUAUGUUCUGUAGAUGAUGAAAUCCACUCAUUCUUUCACAUUUGACACUCAGGAACAUUAUUCUGAAACUGUUGAACUAUUAGCUCACACAGUCUCUCACAGAGUGGUAAACCUCCUCCCAUCUUUCCUUCUGAGAGACUCAACCUCUCGGAAUGUCCUUUUAAUACCCUGUCAUCUUACUAACCUGUUGGAUAUUAACCUCAGUAGUUGAAGAUGUUUCUCCAUGGACUGUAUAUAGAAUGGACACCGUCUGCCUCCUUGCUGAGUGAAGCCUUCAUGAGAACAGCACCCUCUGUUGACUGGUUGCAGUAUAGGUCAUAAAUCCUGCCUCCUCCAGCAAACUUAACGCAGUUGUGGACAAACUUUAGAAAUUUAUUACACAGAAUAUGAAUUUUUCUCUCCCUUGGUUGUGAUGUUGCCAUGUAGUUAUUUUUUAGAUUGGUGGUGCUGAGGUCCCCUUUUUUUCUGUGCUGCUCCAUUUUUAAAAGUUAUUAAGGGUUUAUGUUUUCUAUGAUUGACACUUGCUACAGCCUAUGGGCGUAGCUCAUCUAGGGGAUAGGCUGUUUGAGCAAAGCGUCAUCACAGUGACUCUCCGGCUGAAUGCGUUCAAUGCUACUGGUGCUUCUUUUGCUCAAUGCUAAAUGGUGGUUCCAGGGAGUGGAGAAAAUCCCGAAAAUAUGGAGAGCAAUUUGGCUUUAAAUUUGUAUAAUAACAGAAGGUGGAACCAGGUUGUCCAUAGUAUAUACAGUACACGUGUUUCUCCAUCAGGUUUUUUUUUUAAUUUUGUAUUUUAAUAAUUUUUAAGAUUAGGGAACCAGCAGUAAAUGCAUAUUUUUUCUACGUCCUUUUGACAUGAUUCAUUAUUUACACACACACACACACACUUAAAAAAAAUAUAAAUAUAUAUGUAUAUAAAUAUAUAAAAACACAGCAGUUAUGCAGGUUGUUUUGUUGACUCUGUAGAACAUGCCUCAGGUUUGCUUGUAUAUAAACCUAAAAUGUGGGUGCAGCAUGUGAAUCAGAGUGACAGCCGCGGGCUAAAAGCUCAGAAAACUGAGAGGAAAGCCGGACGCUGCAGCACGAGCGUGAACAUGGAGGGGGAGUGUGAAGGUUAACUGAGGACACACCAGCCUGGUUAUUUAAUGUAAAGAGUCACAGACAGGAACCCCAGCACAGGUCGGAAACACAGUUAAAUAUGAUGUUAAUGUGGCGUCAGGUUCUUCCUCUCGACAAAGCUGCUCAGGUUAUUUUUAGAGCAGCUGCGGUUGGCUUACUUACCUUUUUCUAUCUAUCUUGUAAGUCAGGUCUGUCUUUUUGUGUGUGUGUGUGUGUGUGUGUCCAGGAUAAAGGAGUCACAUGAUCAGCUCUGACACAUCCCAGUCUCUCCUCUUCGUGCGUUCUGCCUCUCUUCACGGGACGGAGACGUUGCGUGCAUCCUAACAGCAUCACGUGUCAAACAAUAUUCCUCUUCCUGACACAUCCUCUCCCUCCUCGUCUGUCACUCUCCUCCAGCUCCUGUUUUCUCCCCCUCCUCCCUCAUUCAUGUAGCUGCUGGGGAAAAAAAUCUGUCUUUCUUUAGCUGCUCCUCAUUUGCUCCUUUCCUGUCAUCCUCUCCCCACCUUUUUUCCUGUCCCUCUAAUUCUUCAGCUUCCCUCCACUCCUCUGUCCUUCCUUCUCCUCCUCUGUGUCUCCUCCCUCUCCCCCUUUCUCCCUAAUGUUGUAUUAAUAAUGGAGAGGGUGUAUGUUCAGCCAGACUUCAUGAAUUAUCCAUCAGAUGGGAAGGAGCGCAGAGGGAAGGAGUCAGGAAAAAGAGAGUGACAUGGAUGAAUGAGGAGGGAAGGAUGUAGGAAGAAAGUGAGGAAGGAAGGAAGAAAGGAGGUGAGGAGUGAAAAUCUUGUAAAGUGUAUCUUUGGAAUCAAACUUCAACACUUUGCAGGCUGCUGUGAUCGCUGCUCAUCUCUGCCGCCACCGCGUGCUUCUGAUCUGCUUACACAUCACUUCAGCCU